rnacentral:rRNA from 1 species
GACGAACGCUGGCGGCGUGCUUAACACAUGCAAGUCGAACGGAAAGGCCUCUUUCGGGGGGUACUCGAGUGGCGAACGGGUGAGUAACACGUGAGUAACCUGCCCUUGACUUUGGGAUAACUUCAGGAAACUGGGGCUAAUACCGGAUAGGAGCUCCUGCUGCAUGGUGGGGGUUGGAAAGUUUCGGCGGUUGGGGAUGGCCUCGCGGCUUAUCAGCUUGUUGGUGGGGUAGUGGCUUACCAAGGCUUUGACGGGUAGCCGGCCUGAGAGGGUGACCGGCGAUAUUGGGACGGAGGUGAGGCCGAAGCACCGAAGGGGGAGAAAAGGGGGAAAGAUGGAAGGAGGGGUGAAGGCUGAGUGAAGAAGGGGUGGGGGGGGGAUGACGGCUUGAGGGUUGAAAACCACUUGCGAAAAGAAAGAGGCUUUGGGUGAAGGGAGAGGAAAAAGAAGCCCCGGAUAACUAAGUG